UUUGUGGCUGCCCACUCCUGGUUAAAUUGCCUUUCUCCAUCCCUGUCUCUCCCUCAUAGCUUUCCACCUUCCCAUUUCACCGUGAGUCUGGGUCAACGCCGGCUGAAUCUGCAGACUGCAGACGUUUUAUCUCUUGUUGAGAAUCUGAUCCUGAUCCCCAGGAGCCUUGUGGAUAGUGAGCCUGGAAGCCUGGUUCUGGUGAAGUUGGUGCAGCCUCCUUCCCUCAACAGCUCUAUCUACCCCAUACCUCUGGUCCAGGGCUCCAGUUUUUCCCCUUGGAUGAAGACCUGCUGGGCUCAGGGCUUUAAAUCAGAUUUUGAUCCCUAUAUCCCACCUGAUAAGCUGUGGCGUGUUAAACUGCCUCUCAUGUCUCGAACCAACUGUCAAGCCAUAUUCCAGCUCCAAUCUGACUGUCCCAGUCCAGAGAUAACCAUGCCAAAUGGGACUCUGUGCACUGGCCCUCCUGUCACUUCCCCAGAGAUCACGGUGGCAGAUGGCAGCCCUCUCCUUUGCUUCUACGCUGGUCAAUGGGUACUGCUAGGAGUGAUGACCUGGAGACCUUGCUCUUCUAAUGGCCUUCCUGAAGUUUAUGUCCCAAUUUAUCCCAUCAACACUUGGAUCCAGACCAAUUUUCUUAAUGUCAGUGUUAUCAAGGGUCCCUCGAAAGCCCCCCUUCCAAGUAUUCUCUCUACCCCAAUUCCUUAAUUCCUUUUGUGUCUAUACUGCACAAUCAAGGUUGCAAGUAUUUCUUCUUUCCCUUCACUUUCCCCUGCCUCAGAAUAUAAAAGAAAACCUUUGCAUCGCUGCAUCUGUAUUUAUUCAAGCAAAUAAAAACAAGU
rnacentral:lncRNA from 1 species